rnacentral:rRNA from 1 species
AGCAAUGGAUGAUGGCGACCGGCGUAAGGGUGCGUAACGCGUGAGCAACAUGCCCUAUACAGGAGGAUACUCCGGGGAAACCCGGUCUAAUACUCCAUAGUAUUAUUGAGAGGCAUCUCUUAAUAAUUAAAGCUUCGGUGGUAUAGGAUUGGCUCGCGUGACAUUAGCCAGAUGGUGAGGUAACGGCUCACCAUAGCAAUGAUGUCUAGGGGUUUUGAGAGGAAGGCCCCCCACACUGGGACUGAGACACGGCCCAGACUCCUACGGGAGGCAGCAGUGAGGAAUAUUGGACAAUGGAUGGAAAUCUGAUCCAGCCAUGCCGCGUGCAGGAAGACGGCCUUAUGGGUUGUAAACUGCUUUUAUACGGGAGCAAUAAGGGUUACGAGUAAUCCGAUGAGAGUACUGUAUGAAUAAGGAUCGGCUAACUCCGUGCCAGCAGCCGCGGUAAUACGGAGGAUCCGAGCGUUAUCCGGAAUUAUUGGGUUUAAAGGGUGCGUAGGCGGCCAUUUAAGUCAGCGGUGAAAUUUUGCAGCUUAACUGUAACAGUGCCGUUGAAACUGGGUGGCUAGGAUUUGGUUGCAGUGUGCGGAAUGUGUGGUGUAGCGGUGAAAUGCUUAGAUAUCACACAGAACACCAAUUGCGAAGGCAGCACACUAAGUCAAUAUUGACGCUGAGGCACGAAAGUGUGGGGAUCAAACAGGAUUAGAUACCCUGGUAGUCCACACUGUAAACGAUGAUAACUCGCUGCCGGCGAUACAUAGUCGGUGGCCAAGCGAAAGCAUUAAGUUAUCCACCUGGGGAGUACGACCGCAAGGUUGAAACUCAAAGGAAUUGACGGGGGCCCGCACAAGCGGAGGAACAUGUGGUUUAAUUCGAU